rnacentral:rRNA from 1 species
CCAGCAGCUGCGGUAAUUCCAGCUCCAAUAGCGUAUAUUAAAGUUGUUGCGGUUAAAAAGCUCGUAGUUGGAUUUCUGCCGAGGACGACCGGUCCGCCCACUGGGUGUGCAUCUGGCUCGGCCUGGGCAUCUUCUUGGAGAACGUAUCUGCACUUCACUGUGUGGUGCGGUAUCCAGGACUUUUACUUUGAGGAAAUUAGAGUGUUUCAAGCAGGCACACGCCUUGAAUACGUUAGCAUGGAAUAAUAAGAUAGGACCUUGGUUCUAUUUUGUUGGUUUCUAGAACUGAGGUAAUGAUUAAUAGGGAUAGUUGGGGGCAUUGGUAUUUGGUAGUCAGAGGUGAAAUUCUUGGAUUUACCAAAGACUAACUGGUGCGAAAGCGUUUGCCAAGGAUGUUUUCAUUGAUCAAGAACGAAAGU